rnacentral:rRNA from 1 species
CGCCAGACUCCUACGGGAGGCAGCAGUGGGGGAUAUUGCACAGUGGGGGAAACCCUGAUGCAGCGACGCCGCGUGAGUGAAGAAGUCUUUCGGUAUGUAAAGCUCUAUCAGCAGGGAAGAAAAUGACGGUACCUGACUAAGAAGCCCCGGCUAACUACGUGCCAGCAGCCGCGGUAAUACGUAGGGGGCAAGCGUUAUCCGGAUUUACUGGGUGUAAAGGGAGCGUAGACGGCAUGGCAAGUCAGAUGUGAAAGCCCGGGGCUCAACCCCGGGACUGCAUUUGAAACUGUCAGGCUGGAGUGCAGGAGAGGUAAGUGGAAUUCCUAGUGUAGCGGUGAAAUGCGUAGAUAUUAGGAGGAACACCAGUGGCGAAGGCGGCUUACUGGACUGUAACUGACGUUGAGGCCCGAAAGCGUGGGGAGCAAACAGGAUUAGAUACCCCCGUA